rnacentral:rRNA from 1 species
AUUGAACGCUGGCGGCAGGCCUAACACAUGCAAGUCGAACGAGUGGCGGACGGGUGAGUAAUGUCUGGGAAACUGCCUGAUGGCGGGGGAUAACUACUGGAAACGGUAGCUAAUACCGCAUACCAUCGGAUGUGCCCAGAUGGGAUUAGCUAGUAGGUGGGGUAAAGGCUCACCUAGGCUACGAUCCCUAGCUGGUCUGAGAGGAUGACCAGCCACACUGGAAGGGAGACACGGCCCAGACUCCUACGGGAGGCAGCAGUGGGGAAUAUUGCACAAUGGGCGCAAGCCUGAUGAAGCCAUGCCGCGUGUAUGAAGAAGGCCUUCGGGUUGGAAAGUACUUUCAGCGGGGAGGCGUUACCCGCAGAAGAAGCACCGGCUAACUCCGUGCCAGCAGCCGCGGUAAUUC